CUUUGAAAAGGUAAAUUUUAGUGCUCACUAAAGCGAUACAGAGAAGACUAGCACAGCCCCUGUGCAAGGAUGACAUGCAAAUUCAUGAAGCGUUUCAUAUUAAA
ensembl:snRNA U6 U6 spliceosomal RNA